rnacentral:rRNA from 1 species
GCUUAACACAUGCAAGUCGAACGGUAACAGACCGCUGGGAUCCCUUCGGGGUGAACUUGGUGCUGACGAGUGGCGGACGGGUGAGUAAUGCAUAGGAAUCUGCCCAGUAGUGGGGGACAACCUGGGGAAACCCAGGCUAAUACCGCAUACGACCUACGGGUGAAAGAGGGCCUCUUCUUGAGAGCUCUCGCUAUUGGAUGAGCCUAUGUCUGAUUAGCUUGUUGGUGAGGUAACGGCUCACCAAGGCGACGAUCAGUAGCUGGUCUGAGAGGACGAUCAGCCACACUGGGACUGAGACACGGCCCAGACUCCUACGGGAGGCAGCAGUGGGGAAUAUUGGACAAUGGGGGCAACCCUGAUCCAGCAAUGCCGCGUGUGUGAAGAAGGCCUGCGGGUUGUAAAGCACUUUCAGUAGGGAAGAAAAGCCUGAGGUUAAUAACCUCGAGUCUUGACGUCACCUACAGAAGAAGCACCGGCUAACUCCGUG